GGGAAUCCACAGUCAGAUCUGACCAAAAUUUAAAGAUACCAUAGAAAUUCUAAUGAAAUAAAAAGAUAUCCUUUUCGAUGCCUGCCGUACCACAAUUUUUCUUUCCUUUGUUCCCAACGAGGUCGAUACAAAUAUAUUAUACAUACACAAAAUACAUUAGACUAUUUUAUAUGCAGGCACUGCGAAAUUCAGCUUUCUUGGGUAAAAAUACGGACACAUAACCAGUCAGAGUGAGUGUUUUCGUGAAUAGUGUAAAGGGAUUAAGGAAAAAUGUUGGAAUUGAGAGAGGGGAGUUGCUAUCCAAAGGCGUUGGUGGGAGUAAAUGUGGGUCUCGCCUGCGUUGAUGGGGUGAUUGCAGCUCUCGCUUUCUGUCAGGUAAUUCUUACUUUCAAUUCUACUUUUUUCGAGAUUGAAAGACACAUUGCUAAUUUGAUGAUAAACUCCUUGGGACUUUUGGGGAAUAAUUAAUUUUUUAGUAGGGUAUUUGUUGAUAAAUCGUGUGAACUAUGGAGAUAGUUAUCCAAUCUUUAGUUUUGGUUAGUGGAAGAGAUUUUUUUUAUUUUUUAAUUUUUUUGGGGAAAAAAUUUGGAGUUUACUUCUCGGUUCUUGGAGUUCAGUUGGCCAUGAUAUAUGGCAAUGCGAUGUAUUAUUCCAGGGUUAUGUCACUUUGAUGACAGAAAGUGGUUGACUGAUGGAGUUACAUAAUGUUAGUCGGCAAGAAGUGAUUGGAUGAAAAGGUUGAAUGUGUUUAAAACCGUCCAAUGAUGAAGCAUGAUUCCUUAUUCUAUGGUAUAUAUUAGUUUGUUUCUGCAUUUGAUCUUUUCACAUGUUUGUGUAUUGCUGAUUCUAUUACUGCCUGUUUGGAUAUACCAGUUUAUGAGAUUCAAGAAUUUUAGUUUUUCCUUUUUUGGUUUUGUACCAG
rnacentral:lncRNA from 1 species